ensembl:miRNA
GAGAGAAAAGAAUGCCACGCACCCACAAGCACAACCCAACUCAAAUGAAAGGUUUGGGUGUACUUGUGGAUGAAUGGUGUGCUUUUCUGUA